rnacentral:rRNA from 1 species
GCUGUGAGCUCGAUGAGUAGGGCGGGACACGUGGUAUCCUGUCUGAAUAUGGGGGGACCAUCCUCCAAGGCUAAAUACUCCUGACUGACCGAUAGUGAACCAGUACCGUGAGGGAAAGGCGAAAAGAACCCCGGCGAGGGGAGUGAAAAAGAACCUGAAACCGUGUACGUACAAGCAGUGGGAGCCUCUUUUAUGGGGUGACUGCGUACCUUUUGUAUAAUGGGUCAGCGACUUAUAUUCUGUAGCAAGGUUAACCGAAUAGGGGAGCCGAAGGGAAACCGAGUCUUAACUGGGCGUUAAGUUGCAGGGUAUAGACCCGAAACCCGGUGAUCUAGCCAUGGGCAGGUUGAAGGUUGGGUAACACUAACUGGAGGACCGAACCGACUAAUGUUGAAAAAUUAGCGGAUGACUUGUGGCUGGGGGUGAAAGGCCAAUCAAACCGGGAGAUAGCUGGUUCUCCCCGAAAGCUAUUUAGGUAGCGCCUCGUGAAUUCAUCUCCGGGGGUAGAGCACUGUUUCGGCAAGGGGGUCAUCCCGACUUACCAACCCGAUGCAAACUGCGAAUACCGGAGAAUGUUAUCACGGGAGACACACGGCGGGUGCUAACGUCCGUCGUGAAGAGGGAAACAACCCAGACCGCCAGCUAAGGUCCCAAAGUCAUGGUUAAGUGGGAAACGAUGUGGGAAGGCCCAGACAGCCAGGAUGUUGGCUUAGAAGCAGCCAUCAUUUAAAGAAAGCGUAAUAGCUCACUGGUCGAGUCGGCCUGCGCGGAAGAUGUAACGGGGCUAAACCAUGCAC